ACGGUCCUAAGGUAGCGAAAUUCCUUGUCGGGUAAGUUCCGACCCGCACGAAAGGCGUAAUGAUUUGAGCGCUGUCUCGACAAUGCAUCCGGUGAAAUUGAAGUACCAGUGAAGAUGCUGGUUACCUGCGCCAGGACGGAAAGACCCCAUGGAGCUUUACUCCAGCUUGAUACUGGGAUUCGGUACUGCAUGUACAGGAUAGGUGGGAGACUGAGAAACUUGAACGCCAGUUUGAGUGGAGUCGCUGUUGGGAUACCACCCUUGCAGUAUUGGAUUUCUAACCAGCAGCCGUGACCCGGCUGGGGGACAAUGUCAGGUGGGGAGUUUGACUGGGGCGGUCGCCUCCGAAAGGGUAUCGGAGGCGCUCAAAGGUUCCCUCAGAAUGGUUGGAAACCAUUCGAAGAGUGCAAAGGCAGAAGGGAGCUUGACUGCGACACCGACGGGUGGAGCAGGUACGAAAGUAGGACUUAGUGAUCCGGUGGUAUAAAGUGGGAUUGCCAUCGCUCAACGGAUAAAAGCUACCCUGGGGAUAACAGGCUUAUCACUCCCAAGAGUUCACAUCGACGGAGUGGUUUGGCACCUCGAUGUCGGCUCAUCGCAUCCUGGGGCUGUAGUAGGUCCCAAGGGUUGGGCUGUUCGCCCAUUAAAGCGGUACGCGAGCUGGGUUCAGAACGUCGUGAGACAGUUCGGUCCCUAUCCGGCGUGGGCGUAGGAUAUCUGAGAGGAGCUGUCCUUAGUACGAGAGGACCGGGAUGGACGGGCCGCUGGUGCAUCGGUUAGACUGCCAAGUCUACGGCCGAGUAGCCAAGCCCGGAAGGGAUAAACGCUGAAGGCAUCUAAGCGUGAAGCCCCCCUUAAGAUGAGAUAUCCCAUUCGAAAGAAGUAAACCCCCUUGAAGACGACGAGGUAGAUAGGGCAGAGGUGGAAGUGCAGUAAUGCAUGGAGCUGACUGUUACUAAUCGGUCGAGGGCAUAACCAA
rnacentral:rRNA from 1 species